AUACUUACUGGCAGCAGAGACACCAUGAUUAUGAAGGUGGUUUUCCCUGGGUGAGGCUCGCCCACGGCACUCUGGCUGUGCUGACCUCUGCAGUUUCCCCAGUGCAGGAAACCUGACUGCAUAAUUUGUGGUACUGGGGGACUGCAUUUGCACUUACCCCUU